UGCGUAGGUGGUUUCUUAAGUCAGAGGUGAAAGGCUACGGCUCAACCGUAGUAAGCCUUUGAAACUGGGAAACUUGAGUGCAGGAGAGGAGAGUGGAAUUCCUAGUGUAGCGGUGAAAUGCGUAGAUAUUAGGAGGAACACCAGUUGCGAAGGCGGCUCUCUGGACUGUAACUGACACUGAGGCACGAAAGCGUGGGGAAGCAAACCAG
rnacentral:rRNA from 1 species